rnacentral:rRNA from 1 species
GAGGCUUCGGCAAUGGGGGCAACCCUGACCGAGCGACGCCGCGUGUGGGAUUGAAGGUGUUAUCAUCGUAAACCACUGUCCUGGGGGAAGAAUGCCCCGAUGGUGAAUCGGGGAAAGACGGUACCCCAGAAGAAAGCCCCGGCUAACUCCGUGCCAGCAGCCGCGGUAAUACGGAGGGGGCCAGCGUUGUUCGGAUUUACUGGGCGUAAAGGGAGCGUAGGCGGCUCGCCAAGUCCGGUGUGAAAGCUUUACCGCUCACCGGAAAGAGGUCAUCGGAAACUGGCGGGCUAGAGCAGGGUAGAGGCAAGUGGAAUUCCCGGUGUAGCGGUGGAAUGUGUAGAUAUCGGGAAGAACAUCGGUGGCGAAGGCGGCUUGCUGGGCCCUUGCUGACGCUGAGGCUCGAAAGCGUGGGGAGCGAACGGG